rnacentral:rRNA from 1 species
UAGGGAAUUGUUCGCAAUGGGCGCAAGCCUGACGACGCAACGCCGCGUGGAGGAUGAAGACUUUCGGGUCGUAAACUCCUUUCGACCGAGAUGAACAUUCACCGGCCUAACACGCUGGUGAACUGACAGUAUCGAGGGAAGAAGUCCCGGCUAACUCCGUGCCAGCAGCCGCGGUAAUACGGGGGGGGCAAGCGUUGUUCGGAAUUACUGGGCGUAAAGGGUUCGUAGGUGGCCCGCUAAGUCAGACGUGAAAUCCCUCAGCUCAACUGGGGAACUGCGUCUGAGACUGGCGGGCUUGAGUGCAGGAGAGGAACGCGGAAUUCCAGGUGUAGCGGUGAAAUGCGUAGAUAUCUGGAGGAACACCGGUGGCGAAGGCGGCGUUCUGGACUGUUACUGACACUGAGGAACGGAAGCCAGGGGAGCAAA